rnacentral:lncRNA from 1 species
AUUCUCACAAAAAUAGCAUUUUGUUAAACUUCUUGGUCAUUGCAUAUCUGUGAAGUAUGGUUUCAUUUCACAUUUUUCUAAUUAUGAAGUUUGAACAUGUUUUCAUAAAUUGAAGAGCCAUUUAUAUUUAUGUUUUGUGGAUUGUAUACUCAUAUUCUUUGCCCUUUAUUCUACUGGGUUGUUGCUCAUUUUCUUGUUGAUUUUAUUGUGACUCUUUAUAUGUUAUGGAAAUUGGUCCUUUGUGAGAUUAGUUGCAAGAAUAUUUUACCAGAUAUUAAAGGUAUAUAGAGUCACCAUAAUCAAAAUGUACUGAUUCCUGUAUGGUGCCUAUACAGGAAUAAAAACCUGAUCAGUGAAAUAUACUUGUCCAGAAACAAAAUCCAAAUAUGCAUUGUAAAUUAAUAGCUAAAAAAGCAGCAGUUUAAAUUGUUUGAUAAACUGAUGUUGGCACAAUUGGCUAUCCACAUGAAGAAAAACAGCCAUGCCCCUAUAUCACACCAUAUCAGAAAUAUAACUUAGAUGAAUGAAUAAUUUUUAAUAAAAUUAUUUUAGAGUCCAGAAAUAAACCUAUUCAUAUAUAGUCAAUUAUUUUUUAAUAAAAUUAUUUUGAAACAAUUUUAGAUUUACAGAAAAAUAGCCAAGAUAGUUAUGGAGUUUCCGUAUACCUCACACCCAGUUUUUUUUAUGAACAUCUUACAUUAAUAUAGGUGGUACAUCUGUCAUAAUUUUUUCAUAAAACAGCAAUAUGGAUUCAUUUUUAUCAAAUGAAGUCCAUACUUUAUUUAGAUUUCCUUAGUUCUACCCUAAUGUCCCUUUUCUGUUCCCGGAUCCCAUCCAGGUUACCACAUAACAUUUAGUAGUCAUAUUUCUCGUCUCUUUUUUAUUGUGAUAGUUUCUCAGGCAUUGCUUGCUUUUCAUUUCCUUGACAGCUUUGAGGAAUGCUGGUCAGGUAUUUUGUAGUAUGUUCCUCAGUUGAGGUUUGUCUUCUUACAGGUUUUGAAGAAGACCACCAUAGAGGUAACAUGCCAUGUCAUCACAUAUUUGCAAAGAAGACAUAUUAUCAAAAUAACAUAAUCGUUCCUAUUAACCUUGAUCACCUGUUUGAGGGUUUCUAUGGUCAUUGACAAGAACAAACCAACUCCCUGGCUCAAAGUUUUCAGCUUUCAAGUGCUAGAGCUAUUGCAAGAACCAGCUCAUUUCCUUCCAUUUGUAU